AUCAGCCUUUAAUAUUAAAAUAUAUGGAACCUUUAUUUUACGAUAAAUUAUGAGUUUUAUAAUAUCAUAUGUUCAAACCCUAAAUUAAGAAAUACUGAAUUAUUCUUUUCAUGAUAAAACAACCAAUAAUUUGAAAAGUAGUAAGAAAUAUCAAGGUUACUUACUUCUUCCAUUUUAUGCCUUCAACUAGACAAAUCGGCUCUAUUUCAAACACUAAAAGUGUUGCCUAGAUAUGGAGCCCA
rnacentral:lncRNA from 1 species